UACGGGGGGGCAAGCGUUGUUCGGAAUUCCUGGGCGUAAAGGGCUCGUAGGCGGCCAACUAAGUCAGACGUGAAAUCCCUCAGCUUAACUGGGGAACUGCGUCUGAUACUGGAUGGCUUGAGAUUGGGAGAGGGAUGCGGAAUUCCAGGUGUAGCGGUGAAAUGCGUAGAUAUCUGGAGGAACACCGGUGGCGAAGGCGGCAUCCUGGACCAACACUGACGCUGAGGAGCGAAAGCCAGGGGAGCAAACGGG
rnacentral:rRNA from 1 species